AUUGAACGCUGGCGGCAUGCUUUACACAUGCAAGUCGAGCGGCAGCGCGGGGGCAACCCUGGCGGCGAGCGGCGAACGGGUGAGUAAUACAUCGGAACGUACCCAGGAGUGGGGGAUAGCCCGGCGAAAGCCGGAUUAAUACCGCAUACGAUCUUAGGAUGAAAGUGGGGGACCGCAAGGCCUCACGCUUUUGGAGCGGCCGAUGUCCGAUUAGCUAGUUGGUGGGGUAAAGCCACCAAGGCGACGAUCGGUAGCUGGUCUGAGAGGAUGAUCAGCCACACUGGGACUGAGACACGGCCCAGACUCCUACGGGAGGCAGCAGUGGGGAAUUUUGGACAAUGGGGGAA
rnacentral:rRNA from 1 species